rnacentral:sRNA from 1 species
AAUUAAAGUAUUAUUAAAAUAAAAAUAACAGAAAUAAAAUGUUUAAUUUCACUGAACGGGGUUAGAUGGUAGGACGGGUUUGGGUCGACAGUAAUACGAGACGAUAUACCACGAGUGAAAUCCAUUAAAUAUGUUUAGUUUCACUAAAUGGGAUUAGAUGGUAGGACGGGUUUGGAUCGAUAGUAAUACGAGACGGUAUACCACGGGUGAAAUCCUACAUAUAAUAAUCAAAAUACAAUUAUAUUAUCUUAAAUACUAAACAAAACAAAUAAUAUCAAUAAAA